rnacentral:rRNA from 1 species
CGGACGGGUGAGUAAUGUCUGGGAAACUGCCUGAUGGAGGGGGAUAACUACUGGAAACGGUAGCUAAUACCGCAUAACGUCGCAAGACCAAAGAGGGGGACCUUCGGGCCUCUUGCCAUCGGAUGUGCCCAGAUGGGAUUAGCUAGUAGUGGGGUAAAGGCUCACCUAGGCGACGAUCCCUAGCUGGUCUGAGAGGAUGACCAGCCACACUGGAACUGAGACACGGUCCAG